UUGGACUACAAGGGUUUCUAAUCCUGUUUGCUCCCCACGCUUUCGCGCCUCAGUGUCAGUUACAGGCCAAAAAGCCGCCUUCGCCACUGGUGUUCCUCCUAAUCUCUACGCAUUUCACCGCUACACUAGGAAUUCCACUUUUCUCUCCUGCACUCAAGUUUAACAGUUUCCAAUGACCCUCCACGGUUGAGCCGUGGGCUUUCACAUCAGACUUAUUAAACCACCUGCGCGCGCUUUACGCCCAAUAAUUCCGGACAACGCUUGCCAUCUACGUAUUACCGCGGCUGCUGGCACUU
rnacentral:misc_RNA from 1 species